rnacentral:lncRNA from 1 species
CGACGAAAAUCUCUCUUUUGUCUACCCCUAUCCCGAUGAGCCGAAACCAAAGCUCUUAUUUUUUGUUGAGUAAUAGUCCGAGUAAGUCUUAAAAAUUGAUCACAGGGAAUUGUGCCUGUGUUAUGUGCGUACCUUGAGAAACAAAUAAAAAAGGAAACUCUCUCAACUCUCAACUCUCAACUCUUGCUCUCUGGAUCUUAAAGACUAGUGAAGAUUUGAACUCCCAAGCUCUCAAACUCUCAAACAGCAAAUGGAAGCCCUCACCAACCUAAGCCCUAAACCGCCCAAAACGAUGAGCAGCGCCGGCAUCGGAUCCCCCGCCACAAUGUCGCCGUCGUCGAGUCCGCCUCGGCUGUGCUCCUCCAAUCCCUCGCGUACCUCCCACCGCACCACCGACCUCGGGUUCCGGCUCCGACGACCGCGUCGACGAGAAGGAGAUGUCCGUCGUCAUCAAUAGCGUGACCAAAGCCGCCAACCGCCACGACAUGCUCUGCGACGACGCCGUUAGUCACCUCAAUUCCUCG